AGUCUUUUGGAUUUUUAAUUAAAGGUGUUUUCUGCUCAGUGUUUAUAAAUAGCCGCAGUAAUUUGACUGUGCAAAGGUAGCAUAAUCAUUUGUUUCUUAAUUUGGGACUUGUAUGAAUGGGAUAACGAAAGUUUAACUGUCUGUUUAUUUAUUUUUAGAAGUUGUAUUUAAUGUGAAGAUACAUUAAUUUUAGAAGAAGACAAGAAGACCCUUUUGAGCUUUAUUUAGCUUUUAUUUUUUAUAAGUGUUUAAUUUGGUUGGGGCGACCAAGGAAGAAGUGGUGUUUAUUUGGUGUAUCUUCCUUUUUUUUUCUUGAACCAAGAUUUUUGGCAUAUAGAUUAAGUUACCAAAGGGAUAACAGCGUAAUUUUUUUUGAGAGUUCUUAUUAAAAAUAAAGAUUGCGACCUCGAUGUUGACUUAUAGUUUCCUUUUGGUGUAGCAGCUAUUAGGGUAGGUCUGUUCGACCUUUAAAACUUUACGUGA
rnacentral:rRNA from 1 species